AAAGUCGUAACAAGGUUUCCGUAGGUGAACCUGCGGAAGGAUCAUUGACAAAUCUAUUUAAAAAAUAUGACAUUGGUUCAGGGUAAAACUUGGACUUAAUGUAAUAUUAACCCGGAGCCUGUUUGGCUCUGGCAAUGUUCACAGAUUAGAGUGUAUCACUACAUUCUUGUCUGUGAAGAUUGUCAUUGAGCUAUUGAAGUGAAAUAUAUUCAGUAGCACAUAAACUCGAUUGUAUUGUUUGACAGUGUACUAUUUAAUUGCACUUUUGACGCAAUUUUGCGUUUGAUUUGCGGCUUAAAUAUUAUUGAAAAAUUUAUACAACUUUUAACAAUGGAUCUCUUGGCUCUU
rnacentral:misc_RNA from 1 species